AUCAGACAGUAUGAAACUAGCUCACGUCUCUACCCUUAUCCCUACUACAUUUUGCAGAGUUUGUUAAGAUAAUACUUCCUUAUCGCAACCCCACCAACCAUUUAUUUCGUCAAACUCCUUUUUUUAUUCUUCUAAAUGUGGUUCAAUAGGUGAGGCUAAGAAAAUGAUAAGAUCAGAAGCUAUGUACAACCUCUGCAUUCUUUUUCUCCUGGUAUUACAGGGUUGGUCGGAACUAGCAGCUUCUCACUCAAUAGUUGAGUUUCUUCCAGGUUUUCAGGGGCCACUUCCCUUUGAAUUUGAAACUGGAUAUAUUGGUGUGGAUGAAUCAGAAGACGUGCAGCUCUUCUACUACUUCGUUAAGUCACAGGGGAAUGCAAAGGAGGAUCCUCUCGUGCUUUGGCUAACUGGUGGCCCUGGCUGUUCUGCCCUUUCUGGUCUUAUUUAUGAAAUUGGUCCAAUAUAUUUUGAGGUAGUGGAGUACAAUGGGAGCUUACCUACAUUGGUCUUGAAUCCACACUCAUGGACAAAGGUGGCCAGCAUAAUAUUUGUAGAUUCGCCUGUUGGCACUGGAUUCUCUUAUGCAAGAACCCCACUUGCUUCUCUCACAGGGGACUUCAUACAAAUUAAGCAAGCUGACGAAUUUCUUAGAAAGUGGCUGACAGAUCAUCCGGAAUUCCUCUCAAAUCCAGUUUAUGUCGGUGGGGAUUCCUACUCUGGCCUUCCUCUUCCAGCCUUAGUUCAGCUAAUUUCAGAUGGUAUUUACUAUUUUUCCUUAUGAGUGCAAGGUACUGCAUAAUGUUGAAAUGGAAGAACUUUAAGUAUCUCAACAUAGGUUCAAUUAUUUAAUUGCCUUUCCAGCGAUCUAUGAAUUUGGAUUUUUUUUUUUUUGAAAUUACUGGAAACUAUCCUAUUUCUAUUGUUCUAAUGAUUAUGGUGAUGCAGGGAAUGAAGAUGGUAGCAAACCACUGAUAAAUCUCAAGGGAUACAUACUUGGGAAUGCUGCCACAGAUUUCACUUUUGAUGGCAACUCUAAGGUCCCAUUUGCUCACGGCAUGGGACUUAUUUCUGACGAACUCUAUGAGGUUAUCCUUUUUCUUGCAGAACUCCUAGAUCCUUCCAAACUAUCAUAGGCUAAAUUCAUUGGUAAUCUGAAAAAGAAAGAUUUAUACUUGUGGCAGAAAAGAAAGAAAGAAUAGUUGUUUUGUCUAACUUGUUUUCAACUUUGUCUAGUCAUUGAAGAGAAAUUGUAGGGGAGAAUACACGUUUGUAGACCCCAGCAAUGCAGAUUGUUUGCAGCAUAUGCAGGAAUUUUAUAAGUGUACUUCAGGACUUGAUGCUGCACAAAUCUUGGAGCCCCUUUGUGCUUUUGUCUCCCCAAAGCCAUUGGAGAUAUCAUUUCAUAAAAGAAGAUCUCUCAUUCUCAAUGACAACUCCGGAGAUUUGGUUGAUCCUGAUCCAUCACUUCCUACAAUUGGCUGUCGGGUAAUUCCACAUUUUCUUCCGUCUUAAUCUUAUCUCCUACAUAUGCAUUUUCUUGAAAUAUAUAGAGAGGAUUCUUCUGAUAUAAACUAUUUUAUCAUAUUACACUCAGUAACGUCUGUUUUAAGCGCUUGUAGACUUACGCAUAUCUGCUUUCCAAAUAUUGGGUCAAUGACAAAAGUGUCCAAAAAGCACUUGGCAUACGAGAGGUAUAAGAAUAGUCCAAAGAUUAAGCAUUUAAACUAAUUAACAACAAGUCAGGGAGGGAAUGAUGCAGAAUUUCAUUUGGUGCAGGGAACCAUAGGGCAAUGGGAACGAUGCACUAAUGGAUUAUCUUAUACCCAUGAAAUUUUCAGCACUAUUAAGUAUCAUUUAUAUCUGGGGAAGAAAGGUUACCGUUCGUUAGUCUACAGGUUAGAUCACUCUAUUUCAUUAAAUAAAUUAAUUUUUCUUUUCUUGUGAAUUGGUGAAUCAUGUAGCUUUUUUUCUUUUACUUUGAAAAAGUGGCGAUCACGACAUGCUUGUGCCAUUCGUGGGAACUCGAGCAUGGAUAAAAUCUCUGAACUUCUCCAUUGUUGAUGAUUGGCGGCCAUGGCUCCUUGAAAGCCAAGUUGCAGGGUAUGUAUGUCCCCUUAAAAUAAAUCUUCUUCCUUCUAAUAUAUAUAUAUUUUUUAUAUUCCGGCUAGUAAAUUGAUUACUUGAUUUGUGUAGAUACACGAGAACUUACUCUAAUCAGAUGACAUAUGCGACUGUGAAGGGUGGAGGGCACACAGCUCCUGAAUACAAGCCUGCAGAAUGUUUUGCUAUGUUCAAGAGGUGGAUAAGCCAGGAGCCUCUGUAACUAGGUUGCAGCCCAAAGUGGUGAUAUGAAGGCUAAUAUGAACCGUAAAUUCAAGAGAAAUAAACAAAAACUAGAGCAAAGAGUUAUGGGAAAAUACUUGCCCUCUAAGUUGUUCUUCUAUUCCUUUAUAAAUAAAAUGUACAAAUUGCAUAAUGUAUUAAUUUCGUGAAAUCUAUAUGGAAUAAUUAUGAAUAAAAA
rnacentral:misc_RNA from 1 species